CUGAGUGGCGGCGGCUGCUGAUUGUGUUCUAGGGGACGGAGUAGGGGAAGACGUUUGCUCUCCCGGAACAGCCUAUCUCAUUCCUUUCUUUCGAUUACCCGUGGCGCGGAGAGUCAGGGCGGCGGCUGCGGCAGCAAGGGCGGCGGUGGCGGCGGCGGCAGCUGCAGUGACAUGUCCAGCAUGAAUCCCGAAUAUGAUUAUUUAUUCAAGUUACUUCUGAUUGGCGACUCAGGGGUUGGAAAGUCUUGCCUUCUUCUUAGGUUUGCAGUAUCCAGGGUGUGAGCAAGCAGAACUCAGACAGCUCUGUCAUGCUGAAGCUGGAAAACAGUCCCUUACCUCUGAGAAGCGUCUCCUGGCAGAUGAAACCCUCAAUCACUCUGUCGCUAACAGGACACGUCCAAACCCAGGAGGUCGCCCCAGACCCCAUCCUGCUCAGUUCACACGCCAGUGGUAACUGAACACUAGCAGAAUGACUGGUUCAUCUCAGCUUCUUCACUGAAUUUUUUAUCUGCUUGAUGAAGAACUCACCCCCGAGGGAAGCAGGACAGCACAGUGUUGAAGGACAUGGGUUUUGGAGCCAGACAAACCUGAGGCCAGCCCCUAACUUUGCCACCUUCCAGAUGUAUGACUUCGAGCCUCACUUUCCUCCCCUCAUAGCACCAGCUCCUCAGAAGGUAAGGAUUAAAUACACCCAUGUGUGCAAAGCACAUGGUAAGAGCUUAACGAACAACAGGAAUUCUAAUAAUAAGCACCGGACUCAUCCCCGUGAAA
rnacentral:lncRNA from 1 species